rnacentral:ncRNA from 2 species
GUUCAAUACGGCGAUGGAGUUCGCCAUAACCGCCUUUCGGGGCUAAUGACUCCUACCCAUGA